UUAACAAAGCGGAUAUAGAUGGGAAGAAGAAAAGUGAAUCUGUUUUCAAUCAAUUAUAAGGCUACUUUACUUUAAUAGCAAGGAAAUCCUCGAUGACUUUAGCGCUGUUAAGAGGACAUCAAAAUCCAAACCCCAUUCUUAGCUGAUAAGCAUCCCAUGUUUGCAUAAAAAUGCUUCAACUGAACAAGAUAUGGUGCAGCUACAACUGACAAUUUUGGUAUUUAACUUGCAAAGGGCUGCCUCAAUGACGGAGCUAGCAACACCCUACGGCCAGCACAUUUGACCAUCUGAUCACUUGCCGGGUAGCUUGAAACCAUCCUUGUAUACAUCAUUGUGGUGGAGCCCAGGAUGUCAUCUCCAAACCCACAUGCUUGGAAGAACAGCCUGAUAGAAAUUUCAGGGAAUCACAAUUAGCAAUUAAGUUUUUUGUUGCUUAAUAGAAAUAUUUGGUAACGGCAUACAACUUAACAAAGCCUUAGGAUCAGCUGUAUCUAGUAAGGUCAUAAUGAAAAUUUUCAGUCCCUCUGCUUAUCAACCAUGUUA